rnacentral:rRNA from 1 species
AGGACGAACGCUGGCGGCGUGCUUAACACAUGCAAGUCGAGCGGUAAGGCUCCUUCGGGAGUACACGAGCGGCGAACGGGUGAGUAACACGUGAGCAAUCUGCCCUUCACUUUGGGAUAACUUCCGGAAACGGAAGCUAAUACCGAAUACGACCACUUCACGCAUGUGAUGGUGGUGGAAAGUUCCGGCGGUGAAGGAUGAGCUCGCGGCCUAUCAGCUUGUUGGUGAGGUAAUGGCUCACCAAGGCUUCGACGGGUAGCCGGCCUGAGAGGGUGACCGGCCACACUGGGACUGAGACACGGCCCAGACUCCUACGGGAGGCAGCAGUGGGGAAUAUUGGACAAUGGGCGAAAGCCUGAUCCAGCAACGCCGCGUGAGGGAUGACUGCCUUCGGGUGUAAACCUCUUCAGCGGGACGAAGCGAAAGUGACGGUACCCGCAGAAGAAGCACCGGCCAACUACGUGCCAGCAGCCGC